UAGGGAAUCUUCCACAAUGGACGCAAGUCUGAUGGAGCAACGCCGCGUGAGUGAAGAAGGUUUUCGGAUCGUAAAGCUCUGUUGUUGGUGAAGAAGGAUAGAGGCAGUAACUGGUCUUUAUUUGACGGUAAUCAACCAGAAAGUCACGGCUAACUACGUGCCAGCAGCCGCGGUAAUACGUAGGUGGCAAGCGUUGUCCGGAUUUAUUGGGCGUAAAGCGAGCGCAGGCGGAAUGAUAAGUCUGAUGUGAAAGCCCACGGCUCAACCGUGGAACUGCAUCGGAAACUGUCAUUCUUGAGUGCAGAAGAGGAGAGUGGAACUCCAUGUGUAGCGGUGGAAUGCGUAGAUAUAUGGAAGAACACCAGUGGCGAAGGCGGCUCUCUGGUCUGCAACUGACGCUGAGGCUCGAAAGCAUGGGUAGCGAACAGGAUUAGAUACCCUGGUAGUCCAUGCCGUAAACGAUGAGCGCUAGGUGUUGGGGACUUUCCGGUUCUCGAGU
rnacentral:rRNA from 1 species